rnacentral:lncRNA from 1 species
CAUUACUUUAUCAUAAUGCCUGUAAAAUGUUUGACUUGAAUACCAGAAUUCACUGAUUGAGAACAAGGAAGAUGGAAGAGUACCAUCAUCUACCAAUGGAGGUGGAGGAGGAGAAAAAUGGGGGAGCACCAGCAUCCAAAAGUGUCCCACAAUCAGCCCCAGGAGGAGAUCUCAGCAGUGGAAAGAAAGACUAUUAACCAAAACAAUGAACGCCAACAUCCACUGAUGGAGGAGAAGAAAGAUGGAGGACGGGAGUGCCAGCAUCUACCAAUGGAGGAGAAGAAAUACUUUUAUUAACCAAAACAAUGUAAGUAAAACCUCUCGUUUACACAGAAAGACACUGGACACGUUUAUUGUAAAAAAAUGACAUUACUUUAUCAUAAUGCCAGUAAAAUGUUUGACUUGAAUACCAGAAUUCACUGAUUGAGAACAAGGAAGAUGGAAGAGUACCAUCAUCUACAAAUGGAGGAGGAGGAGGAGAAAAAUGGGGGAGCACCAGCAUCCAAAAGUGUCCCACAAUCAGCCCCAGGAGGAGAUCUCAGCAGUGGAAAGAAAGACUAUUAACCAAAGCAAUGUAAGUAAAACUUCUCAUUUCCUCAGAAAGACACUCACAUGUUUAAUGUAUAAAUAUACGCCACGUUUUACUAACACCUAUAAAAUGUUGGAGAGGAACGCCAACAUCCACUGAUGGAGGAGAAGAAAGAUGGAGGACGGGAGUGCCAGCAUCUACCAAUGGAGGAGAAGAAAUACUUUUAUUAACCAAAACAAUAAUUCACUGAUUGAGAACAAGGAAGAUGGAAGAGUACCAUCAUCUACCAAUGGAGGAGGAGGAGGAGGAGAAAAAUGGGGGAGCACCAGCAUCCAAAAGUGUCCCACAAUCAGCCCCAGGAGGAGAUCUCAGCAGUGGAAAGAAAGACUAUUAACCAAAACAAUGUAA